UACGAAGGGUGCUAGCGUUGUUCGGAAUCACUGGGCGUAAAGCGCGCGUAGGCGGCGUCUCAAGUCAGGGGUGAAAUGCCAAGGCUUAACCUUGGAACUGCCUUUGGAACUAAGACGCUGGAGUGUCGGAGGGGAUAGCGGAAUUCCUAAUGUAGUGGUGAAAUACGUAGAUAUUAGGAGGAACACCGGUGGCGAAGGCGGCUAUCUGGACGACAACUGACGCUGAGGCGCGAAAGCGUGGGGAUCAAACAGG
rnacentral:rRNA from 1 species